GCCCAGCUAGCUCAGUCAUUAGAGCAUGAGACUCUUAAUCUCAGGGUCGUGGGUUCGAGCCUCACAUUGGGCA
rnacentral:tRNA from 1 species